GAUGAACGCUGGCGGCGUGCCUAAUACAUGCAAGUCGAGCGAAUGGAUUAAGAGCUUGCUCUUAUGAAGUUAGCGGCGGACGGGUGAGUAACACGUGGGUAACCUGCCCAUAAGACUGGGAUAACUCCGGGAAACCGGGGCUAAUACCGGAUAACAUUUUGAACCGCAUGGUUCGAAAUUGAAAGGCGGAUUCGGCUGUCAAUUAUGGAUGGACCCGUGUCGCAUUAGCUAGUUGGUGAGGUAACGGCUCACCAAGGCAACGAUGCGUAGCCGACGUGCGAGGGUGAUCUGCCAAAAUGGAACUGUGACACGGCCCAGACUCCUACUGGAGGCAGCAGUAGGGUAACUUCCGCCAUGGGCGAAAGUCUGAAGGAGCAACGCCGCGUGAGUGAUGAAGGCUUUCGGGUCGUAAAACUCUGUUGUUAGGGAAGAACAAGUGCUAGUUGAAUAAGCCGGCAACUUAACGGUACCUAACCAGAAAGCCACGGCUAACUACGUGCCAGCCGCCGCCGUAA
rnacentral:rRNA from 1 species